CCAAAUCCUCCCCAAAGGAUGGUAAGCAUAAUUCGUGAGAGAACUCCACUGCGGCAAUGCCGCUAGCAUACAUCUUUGAUGAUUACCUUCCUGCACCCUUGUUUCCAGUAAACACCCGAACAAAGGCUUCUCAGCUUGAACCCAUGAUCGAAGAGCUCUAUGCUUGCAUGGCAUGUUGAAACCACGCAUAUUCCAUGCGUAGAAGGACGUCAUAUCUUCCUAACAGAAGAUUUUUUGGAUGUGCCUUGUUUACCCACAUAUAACAAAUCUUUAGUACGAAUCACUUUACUACGGGAAGGUUUAUGAGCUGAACCAGCUGCAAGUUUGUUGCCUUUUCUUCUCCUCUUCUUUACUUUCUAGAAUCUCACCCUCUUCAGUCUCCUUUCCAUACUCAUCUAUAUUAUCCUCCUCUUCUUCCUCAUCAAUGUCAUGUAAGGGUCUAAACCGAGAUGGUGAAACCACCCGUUCCUCAUCUUCUACCAAAUCCUUACCCUGCUUCUUCCCAUGAACCAGUGCCCAACCUUCUGCUACAUUGGCCCGAAACGCCUCUGUCGUAGGCUCAGAUAUCUGUAUAGUAUGGUAUCUAAUUUUUAUAAACCAAUAUAUCGAAAAACCAAACCAAGCCAGACUAAAAUUGAAUAAACCAAAAAUCGAGAGUAUGUAAAUUGAACCAAACCAAAACAGAUAUAAUUUUCAUAUGGUAUCUAAUUUUUAUAAACCAAAAUAUCGAAAUACUGAGCCGAGACUAUACCAAAAUCUGGAUUGAACAACCCUACUUUGAAUCUAUGAUUUUUAUCCAUGUCUCAC
rnacentral:lncRNA from 1 species